rnacentral:rRNA from 1 species
UAGUUUAGUGGCGGACGGGUGAGUAACACGUGAGCAACCUACCUUCGAGAGGGGAAUAACGGCUGGAAACGGUCGCUAAUACCGCAUAACAUACUGGAGGGACAUCCCUUUGGUAUCAAAGAUUUAUCGCUCGGAGAUGGGCUCGCGUCCGAUUAGGUAGUUGGUGAGGUAACGGCUCACCAAGCCGACGAUCGGUAGCCGGACUGAGAGGUCGAACGGCCACAUUGGGACUGAGACACGGCCCAGACUCCUACGGGAGGCAGCAG